rnacentral:rRNA from 1 species
GCAAGUCGAGCGAAUGGAUUGAGAGCUUGCUCUCAAGAAGUUAGCGGCGGACGGGUGAGUAACACGUGGGUAACCUGCCCAUAAGACUGGGAUAACUCCNGGGAAACCGGGGGCUAAUACCGAGAUAACAUUUUGAACCGCAUGGUUCGAAAUUGAAAGGCGGCUUCGGCUGUCACUUAUGGAUGGACCCGCGUCGCAUUAGCUAGUUGGUGAGGUAACGGCUCACCAAGGCAACGAUGCGUAGCCGACCUGAGAGGGUGAUCGGCCACACUGGGACUGAGACACGGCCCAGACUCCUACGGGAGGCAGCAGUAGGGAAUCUUCCGCAAUGGACGAAAGUCUGACGGAGCAACGCCGCGUGAGUGAUGAAGGCUUUCGGGUCGUAAAACUCUGUUGUUAGGGAAGAACAAGUGCUAGUUGAAUAAGCUGGCACCUUGACGGUACCUAACCAGAAAGCCACGGCUAACUACGUGCCAGCAGCCGCGGUAAUACGUAGGUGGCAAGCGUUAUCCGGAAUUAUUGGGCGUAAAGCGCGCGCAGGUGGUUUCUUAAGUCUGAUGUGAAAGCCCACGGCUCAACCGUGGAGGGUCAUUGGAAA